UUAAGCGACUAAGCGUACACGGUGGAUGCCCUGGCAGUCAGAGGCGAUGAAGGGCGUGCUAAUCUGCGAUAAGCGCCGGUAAGGUGAUAUGAACCGUUAUAACCGGCGAUACCCGAAUGGGGAAACCCAGUGUGACUCGUCACACUAUCAUUAACUGAAUCCAUAGGUUAAUGAGGCGAACCGGGGGAACUGAAACAUCUAAGUACCCCGAGGAAAAGAAAUCAACCGAGAUUCCCCCAGUAGCGGCGAGCGAACGGGGAGGAGCCCAGAGCCUGAAUCAGCAUGUGUGUUAGUGGAAGCGUCUGGAAAGGCGCGCGAUACAGGGUGACAGCCCCGUACACAAAAGCGCAUGUGCUGUGAGCUCGAUGAGUAGGGCGGGACACGUGGUAUCCUGUCUGAAUAUGGGGGGACCAUCCUCCAAGGCUAAAUACUCCUGACUGACCGAUAGUGAACCAGUACCGUGAGGGAAAGGCGAAAAGAACCCCGGCGAGGGGAGUGAAAAAGAACCUGAAACCGUGUACGUACAAGCAGUGGGAGCACCCUUUGGGGUGUGACUGCGUACCUUUUGUAUAAUGGGUCAGCGACUUAUAUUCUGUAGCAAGGUUAACCGAAUAGGGGAGCCGGAGGGAAACCGAGUCUUAAUUGGGCGUUAAGUUGCAGGGUAUAGACCCGAAACCCGGUGAUCUAGCCAUGGGCAGGUUGAAGGUUGGGUAACACUAACUGGAGGACCGAACCGACUAAUGUUGAAAAAUUAGCGGAUGACCUGUGGCUGGGGGUGAAAGGCCAAUCAAACCGGGAGAUAGCUGGUUCUCCCCGAAAGCUAUUUAGGUAGCGCCUCGUGAAUUCAUCUCCGGGGGUAGAGCACUGUUUCGGCUAGGGGGCCAUCCCGGCUUACCAACCCGAUGCAAACUGCGAAUACCGGAGAAUGUUAUCACGGGAGACACACGGCGGGUGCUAACGUCCGUCGUGAAGAGGGAAACAACCCAGACCGCCAGCUAAGGUCCCAAAGUCAUGGUUAAGUGGGAAACGAUGUGGGAAGGCCCAGACAGCCAGGAUGUUGGCUUAGAAGCAGCCAUCAUUUAAAGAAAGCGUAAUAGCUCACUGGUCGAGUCGGCCUGCGCGGAAGAUGUAACGGGGCUAAACCAUGCACCGAAGCUGCGGCAGCGACACUAUGUGUUGUUGGGUAGGGGAGCGUUCUGUAAGCCUGUGAAGGUGGCCUGUGAGGGUUGCUGGAGGUAUCAGAAGUGCGAAUGCUGACAUAAGUAACGAUAAAGCGGGUGAAAAGCCCGCUCGCCGGAAGACCAAGGGUUCCUGUCCAACGUUAAUCGGGGCAGGGUGAGUCGACCCCUAAGGCGAGGCCGAAAGGCGUAGUCGAUGGGAAACGGGUUAAUAUUCCCGUACUUGGUGUUACUGCGAAGGGGGGACGGAGAAGGCUAUGUUGGCCGGGCGACGGUUGUCCCGGUUUAAGCGUGUAGGUGUGUGUUCCAGGUAAAUCCGGUUCACUUUAACACUGAGGCGUGACGACGAGGCACUACGGUGCUGAAGCAACAAAUGCCCUGCUUCCAGGAAAAGCCUCUAAGCAUCAGGUAACAUCAAAUCGUACCCCAAACCGACACAGGUGGUCAGGUAGAGAAUACCAAGGCGCUUGAGAGAACUCGGGUGAAGGAACUAGGCAAAAUGGUGCCGUAACUUCGGGAGAAGGCACGCUGACACGUAGGUGAAGUGAUUUACUCAUGGAGCUGAAGUCAGUCGAAGAUACCAGCUGGCUGCAACUGUUUAUUAAAAACACAGCACUGUGCAAACACGAAAGUGGACGUAUACGGUGUGACGCCUGCCCGGUGCCGGAAGGUUAAUUGAUGGGGUCAGCGCAAGCGAAGCUCCUGAUCGAAGCCCCGGUAAACGGCGGCCGUAACUAUAACGGUCCUAAGGUAGCGAAAUUCCUUGUCGGGUAAGUUCCGACCUGCACGAAUGGCGUAAUGAUGGCCAGGCUGUCUCCACCCGAGACUCAGUGAAAUUGAACUCGCUGUGAAGAUGCAGUGUACCCGCGGCAAGACGGAAAGACCCCGUGAACCUUUACUAUAGCUUGACACUGAACAUUGAGCCUUGAUGUGUAGGAUAGGUGGGAGGCUUUGAAGUGUGGACGCCAGUCUGCAUGGAGCCGACCUUGAAAUACCACCCUUUAAUGUUUGAUGUUCUAACGUGGACCCGUGAUCCGGGUUGCGGACAGUGUCUGGUGGGUAGUUUGACUGGGGCGGUCUCCUCCUAAAGAGUAACGGAGGAGCACGAAGGUUGGCUAAUCCUGGUCGGACAUCAGGAGGUUAGUGCAAUGGCAUAAGCCAGCUUGACUGCGAGCGUGACGGCGCGAGCAGGUGCGAAAGCAGGUCAUAGUGAUCCGGUGGUUCUGAAUGGAAGGGCCAUCGCUCAACGGAUAAAAGGUACUCCGGGGAUAACAGGCUGAUACCGCCCAAGAGUUCAUAUCGACGGCGGUGUUUGGCACCUCGAUGUCGGCUCAUCACAUCCUGGGGCUGAAGUAGGUCCCAAGGGUAUGGCUGUUCGCCAUUUAAAGUGGUACGCGAGCUGGGUUUAGAACGUCGUGAGACAGUUCGGUCCCUAUCUGCCGUGGGCGCUGGAGAACUGAGGGGGGCUGCUCCUAGUACGAGAGGACCGGAGUGGACGCAUCACUGGUGUUCGGGUUGUCAUGCCAAUGGCACUGCCCGGUAGCUAAAUGCGGAAGAGAUAAGUGCUGAAAGCAUCUAAGCACGAAACUUGCCCCGAGAUGAGUUCUCCCUGAGACUUAAAGUCUCCUGAAGGAACGUUGAAGACGACGACGUUGAUAGGCCGGGUGUGUAAGCGCAGCGAUGCGUUGAGCUAACCGGUACUAAUGAACCGUGAGGCUUAACCUU
rnacentral:rRNA from 1 species